GUGGGGACGGCGCCGCUCAGGACUGGACCCCCGACCCCGGCCGGCCUCCGCCGGGCUCCAGUCCCCGCCACCCUUGCUAGGUACCCUGUGCGGUCGGGCAGGCAGCCGCUCCCUGCGACCUAGGCUUCUUGUCCUCUGACGCGCCUCGGGGCAGGAGCCGAGGCCGCCCACUAGAGGAACAGGAUCUGCCUGCGCAGCUGUCUCGCCCGGCAAAGAGCGCCCAGGACCCGGGACUGCGUCCUCUUCACUGAGACCUGGCUUAUAAAGGACCUAGUCGAGGCUGUUAAGUGAAAGGAAGCAGGGGUGGCGUGGGCCUGGCGCUCAGGUGCGCCCUAAAUGUUUGGUCAUAGCUGGCUACAAGGACAUUCGCUCAAGCUUGGAGGUGCGUGGCACUCUGACAUGUUGCCUCUGGGGUAACCGAGGGACGCGCGGCAAACAGAGAUGGAGGACUGGCAACGGGUGCCUCGAAGAGGUAGACUGGGAGAUCUCUCAGGGUUACUGGGGAAGCGAUGACUGCAGGGUGAGCACUCAGAGAGUCUGGCAGAAGGCUGGGAGUGUGACCGGCAGGACCUUCCAAAAAACCCGGCGUACCUGGAAACUGGGUCCGCAGCUUUAGGGCGGCAGCAAGGUCAGGGUGUAGGAACACGGAGAUGAGGCCCUGGUGACUGGCAGUGAGCACACACUGCCAACCUUGGAGAAAUUCCUUCUCCAGGAAGGAGAUGCAAAUUUGCAAGAGGGCUGGAACAUGCAGCCGGGGCCUGCUGUGCACCAGGCACAGAACUGAGUUGAAGAGCUUGGCUAAAGGGUAUGUUAGCCAGUGAAGCAAUGAAGUUAAUAAAGGGUGAUGAUUUCAAAUGUUUGGCAGUGGGAGAGAGAAAAGUAGGCCUGGAGCUCAAGAAGUACCAAGAGUAAAGGAGAAAGUUGGGUCCUACUGUGGAAGCUGAGGCAAAAGCAUCCCUUAAGCCGAGAAGUUUGAGUUCAGCCUGGACAACAUAGCGAGACCCUCCCUCUCUGCAAAAGAGUAAAGGGAAAAGUUGAUUCUUUUUUUUUUUUUCUCGAGACGGAGUUUCGCUCUUGCAGCCCAGGCUAUAGUGCAAUGGCGCGGUCUCGGCUCACUGCAACCUCUGCCUCCAGGGUUCCAGUGAUAAUCCAGCCUCAGCCUCCCAAGUAGCUGGAAUUACAGGCGCACGCCACCAUGCCUGGGUUUUUUUUGUUUUUUUUUUUUUUUUUUGAGUUUCGCUCUUGUUGCCCAGGCUGCAGUGCAAUGGCACAAUCUCGGCUCACUGCAACCUCUGCCUCCUAGGUUCAACCGAUUCUCCUGCUUCAGCCUCCCGAGUAGCUGGGAUUACAGGCAUGCGCCACCAUGCCCGACUAAUUUUGUAUUUUUAGUAGAAAUGAGGUUUCAACAUGUUGGUCAGGCUGGUCUCACAACUCCUGAACUCAGGUCAUCCGCCCGCCUCGGCCUCCGAAAGUGCUGGGAUUACAUGCAUGAGCCACCGCAGCCGGCCCUAAUUUUUGUAUUUUUAGUAGAGAUGGGGGUUCGCCAUGUUGGCCAGGCUGGUCUCGAACACCUGACCUAAGGUGAUCCACCUGCCUUAGCCUCCCAAAGUGCUGGAAUGACAGGCAUGAGCCACCACGCCUGGCAGGUGAUUUUUUUUUUUCCUAACUUGAGUGGGGAGACCUUAAAUAAAGGAGCUGAGAGGGGAGAAUGGCAGAUAAGAUGUAGGAUAAUUGAUAGUGCAAGAAACCAGAAAAGGAAAAGUAGAUGAGAAGGGGGAAGGGGGAAAGGGGAGAGCAAAGAGUCAGAGAAGUCCACCUCUUCCUACAAGAUUUAAAGAGUGCAUAAAGAUUGAAAUAUUUUGAGGUAGGGAGGCAUGCAUGCUUCCAUGGAUCAGCUGCCUGGAUUACCCUCCACAAUCAUCCUUAGGGCAGCUGGGGUCACUGUCCUUUAAAAUUUAAGUACAAUUGACUCCAAACCCGUGUACCACUUAAGAAACCCAUCAUAACCUGCCAAUAUCUCCAGAGUUUCACUGGGAACUUACAUUUCUCCUAAUUAUCUCAGGCCCUAAUUUCUUGUUUCCAAAAAAUAUUGUGCUCUUUGGAAGAUUUGUCACCAUAUCCCAGAUAUUAGUCCAUUUAUAUUACCUCAGAAUAUUGCACCCUACCUAUAAGCAAGAAAAAUGCCCAAAAUUAUAUGAUUAUAUUAUAGUUACAUGACUGUUAGAUAAACUAGUUUGUGGCCAUUAAAAAUCAUGGUAAAGAAAAAGAUUUAAUGAUGUGGGAAAUCUUUAUAAUUAAAAGCACAUUAUAAGGUGAUAUGGCAGAUGGUAACAUAAAUAUACAUAAAUAUGUAUAAUGCAUAGAUUUUAAAAUGAGACUUUUCUUCUGUGACAUCUAUAUUUUCUUAUUUUUAUAAUGCAUGUAUAUUUCUCCUGGAAGCAGAGAAAUGGUAUCUUUAAGUAGCUUUUUAAAGUAUUUUUAAGAAAGGUAUUUUUUAAAAGAUAUUUAUGGGGUUCAAAAGAAAAAAAUAUUAGGGCUGGGCAUGAUGGCUCAUGCCUGUAAUCACAGCUACUUGGGAGGCCGAGGCUGGUGGAUCACCUGAGGUCAGGGGUUUGGGACCAGCCUGGCCAACAUGGUGAAAGCCCAUCUCUACUAAAAGUACAGGCAUGGUGGCAUGCCUGUAGUCCCAGCUACUUGGGUGGCUGAAUCAUGAGAAUCACUUGAACCUAGGAGGUGGAGGUUGCAGUGAGCUGAGAUUGCACCACUGCACUCCAUCCUGGACAACAGAGUGAGAAUCUGUCUCAAAAGAAAAAGAAAAAUAUAUUAGGACUCUGGAAAAGGAAUUUGGAAAUGAAUCUUUGAAGUGUAGAUGGGACUUUAGCAAAUAGAGAUGGGCUGAGUAAGGAGACUGUCCCAGGCAGAAGGAACAGCACAACCAAGAAGCCAGAAUGGGAAAUAGAUGGAGUGUUCAGAGGGGAGCACCAAGAAAUCCAUUUGGCUGGAGCGCACAGGACUGGUGUAGAAGAAAAGUAGGGGAAUCAAUGUGGAAAGGUAAGGUAGGAAAUGGGGUUUCAUGGACUAAAAUAAAAGGAAAAAUAAUGAGUAUAUCAAAAAUGGUCCUGAAUGCCAAGCUGAACCCCAUGUCCUUUGCAUGUCAGGAAGAACCACUGAGGCUUGAACAGUGCAGGUAAUAAAUUUGCAAAUAAAUUGUCCUGUAACUUCUUACUCAAUGAGGUUUUAGGUCUCAACCCAUCAGUCCUAAUAUUUGGACAUCUAAUUCACUCAGAGCAAUGAGUUAGGGGCAGCAGUCUUUGCAUUACAGCUGUUUACAGACUGAAAAUUGGGCCUUGCUUCUCUGGCUAUUAAUUACUACAAUUUCUAUUCACCAUUCAGCAGAGUUUCAGAGCAAGAACAAAUGAUCAAAGAAUAAUUUCCAUAACCCACUGCUGGGUCACAAAGGACAUUGAAAAGAGGCUCCUCUAUAGCCAGAUAGCCUGCACCCUUAGACUUGCCAUGUUUACAUGUACCAGAAAUCAACAGGACAGAUAAGACUUUUCUAAGAUGCUGUGGAGGGGUGGGAUGGAAGGAUUGACAGGACCCGUGUUUGGGUUUCUCUUCUCUUCUCAGUAUAUAUUUCCUAAUAUCAAUAUUUCUCAGGGGCUAUAAACAUUUUCUUCUUUGUCCAGCUCAAGAUACAGAUUGAACUUCAAACAAGGUAGACCAGAGACAAUUUUUUAUUUGAAUGAAUAGAAUCGUGGACUAAAAUGAAAGGAAAAAUAAUGUCUUGAUUGUAGCUGUUAUCUUAGUUGUGACAAUACAUUGAGGCCAUCUUAACUAACACUGUUGGAGUAUUAUAAGGGCAAUAAGUUUAGUCUCUUCCUUGUAAGUUUGGAAGCAAUGGGAAGGUGAAAAUAUCAACUUUAUUACCAAUAAAACUGAACUGAAGAAUGUGGCUUAGAUGGUGGCCAAUAAGCUUUUUAAUAUUUUUCCCUGAAUUAAAAUUAUUUCCAGCCAGGCAUGGUUGCUCACACCUGUAAUUCCAGCACUUAGAGAGGCAGAGGUGGGAGGAUUGCUUGAACCCAGGAGUUAAAGACCACCCUGGGCAACAUAGCAAGACCCUGUCUCCAUAAAAAGGAAAAAAUAAAAAAAUAAAAUUAUUUUCCCUAAACCUCCAUUCUCCCCUUUGCAGAAGCCUAACAAUAUUAACUAUGUCUAAUUAGAGAAAACUGCACCUUCUCUUAGAUCAGGCAGGUCUGAAUUCAGCAAUUAGGUAAGUCUCUGCUGGAAGAAUCAGAACAACUUCACUCCUACCUGCCCUUCUAUGGAUACAAAAGGAUUUAGAGGAUAAGGAUAAGGAUUUACAUCCCCUUCCCGACCCCUGAUGCCCAAACAAAUUAGACCUGGCCCAACAGUUCAUUCUUUAAUUGGAAAAGAAUAUUUAAGCAGUGAAUAACAACAAAUGGCAAAUAUAUACCCUAGUAUUUCAUUUUAACUUCAAAACUAUAAAGAACACCCACUUGCCUUGCCAAUCUUUAGACCUAGGACUAAACCUUUUUUGAUUAUUGUUCUUGAGCUGCCUUUCUUACAUCAAUCAUAUCCACGAUGCACUUUCUAUGCUUUCCUUUCCCUUUUUUUUUUUUUUUGACAGUCACCUAGGCUAGAGUGUUAGAGUACAGUGGUGUGACAAUGACUCACUGCAGCCUCAACCUCCUGGGUACAAAUGAUCUUCCCACCUCAGCCUCCCGAGUAGCUGGGACUACAGGCGUGCACCACCACGCUGGGCUAAUUACAAAUACAUAUAUGUAUAUAUAACCUGGCUUCCAAGUUGGCUGUGUACUUAAAACUUCUUACAAAGCAGUAUAAGUAGAGGCUUUAAAAAAAAAACCUUUUGUAGUUCUCUUGCUCACAUCUGGUUUAGUAGUAAUUUCAACUGGUCUUUAGCUAAUAUUUUCAAAGCAUGUAACUGACAUGUCAUAGAGACAGCUCUUUUCAUGCUUAUGUUUCAUCUAUUUAUGCAAUUUUAAUAAACUGAUGGAUAAUUCAUCAGUUUAUUAAACUCUGGUGUAUAGCUACCAUAAACAGGUUUAGGACCAAACACAGCAGACUGUUAUUAGGCAUGUAGCUCAACUGGCAGGAAUGAGUAUGUAGGUAUUCCAGAAAGUAACCCACUAGUCCAAAGCAUUUAUCUGUCCUUGAGCAUUAGCAAUAUAUUUAUUAGAAGGGAAUGGAAAGUGUUGAUUCCGGAGAGUCCAUUAGAAGGAGGGCACUUAAUGCACAGUUAAUGCUCAUACACUAGGAUGACGAACUCUGUGCAUAUUUCAUAACUUUUUCCAUCAUUUAUCCAUUUCAUAAAUGUUUAUUGAUAUUCUGGACAGUGCCAGACACUAUGCUAGGCCCUGAAGAAGCAUAGCUUAAUGAAGAGGAGGAAACUGAUGUAUAAACAAGGUGAAGAGUCUGGAAAAAAAGAAGGAAGUAAGUUGGACAGCAAAUCCUUCUAACCUUCUCUCCACCCCACGCCCUCAAAAUCACUGACCCUCCAGUCCCAUUUAGCUAAAAAAGCUUUAAAUGGCUUAGAAUUGGUAUGGCUAUCAAAGAAGUUCAAAUGUUAAGACUACUUACUACGUUAGCAAAGUAUACAUACCUUAUGUACUUUCAAUGCUAUAGAGAUAAUGCAAUUGGUACAGUCAAGAGAAAACCGCAGCAGGGUAAAUUGCUAUCCUUUAAAGCAAUUUGAGGCUGGGCGCGGUGGCUCGUGCCUAUAAUCCCAGCACUUUAGGAGGCUGAGGCAGAUGGAUCACCUGAGGUCAGGAGUUCAAGACCAGCCUGGCCAACAUGGUGAAACCCUGUUUCUACCAAAAAAAAAAAAAUACAAAAGUUAGCCAGGCAUGGUGGCGCAGGUCUGUAAUCCAAGCUACUAGGGAGGCUGAGGCAGGAGAAUCACUUGAUUCUGUGAGGCAGAGGUUGCAGUAGCUGAGAUCAUGCCACUGCACUCCAGCCCGGGCGACAGAGAGAGAUUACGCCUCAAAAAAAAAGAGAAAUACUACUCCCCAAAAGAAAACGGCCACACACACAACAAUAUUUACCAUAGUACUUACUGAAUGAUAGUGAAAAUUUAGAAACAUUAUGAAUGGUUAAGUAACUGGUGAUAUGAAAUCUAUAACUUAUUGACAUGAGAGAAACAUUUGAUUACAUAUGAAAUGAAAAAAGAUACAAUUUGCUGGCACAUGCUAAGAACCAGUAAAUUGUAUGCUUUAAAGGGGUGAGUUUUGUGAAUCAUUUCAAUUUUCUUAAAAAGAUACUAUUGUACAUUUUUGCUUUUGUAUCAACUAAGAUCAGCAGGGAACAGAUGAACUGCUCAAAAUGUGUAUCCGAGGAGAGUUAAUAAAGGGACGGUGUACAGAAAUGUAGCAGGGUUGAGGGAAACCAAAAAGGGACAGUGAAGCACCCCAGGUCUAGCAUCUACUGGGAAGCCAUUAUCAACCACUGGCCUGAAGGGGCAAAGAGAUGGAACAGUUACCAGUCCUUGUGUAGCUAUGGGAGAAGAACAGCCAACAGGAGCUUGGAGGAAAGAAGAGCCCUACCUCUCUUCUUUCUCUCAGGUCUCCUUCAGUACCUCCCACUGGCUGAGCCAGCAGGAAGCCUACAAGCAAGGAGCCCAGAUGAUGCUACUUUCAAAGUCCACCUCUGGAGGUAAAGAGCAGAGUGCAAAAGGGUGAAGGGUGGAUCAGUAGGAGCAAAGGCAAGAAUACCUAGCAGAAACUCUUCGUGGCCUGUAUUCUUCUCCUUGGCCUCUUAGCCCUGAAUAUAUGGUGGCCAGUUUCAUGGGAACCUUCACUUACUGACAAUUUCCGCUGCAAGUGCCAGGUCUUGGGCCUCUCCAAUUUCUGUUUCAGGGCCUUUUCAAAGCCAUAAGAGACUACUCAGCCCUCUCACAGGCGUAGCCUGAAAGUAAAGAGAAUUAACACAACCUUCAACCAGUGGCAGGUAUGAGCCAAGGAAUAAAUGCCCCAGUCUCCUAUCCUUCAGAUGGACAAUUCUGGGAGGCAUUUUAUACACUUUUCAGAGGUCUCCAAAAAUCAAUCACGCCCCCUGCGCUGGCUUUCCCUCCUACCCUACCUCACUCAUUCCUCUCCGUUAGACCUGCUGUCCUCCACACACAUCAUCAAUUCCCAAAUACACAACCUGCACCCAAGUCCUUGUCUCAGGCUCUGCUUUUGGGGAACCCAAACACCCAAUUUCCCCAUAUUGAGCAUUGGGUUGUUGCAGAUUUCUGUUAUUGCAAAAGUGCUACCAAGAACUUUCAUGUAAAACCCAAUGGUGCUCAAGUGCAAGAAUUUCUUUUUCGUAUUUACAUAGAAAUAGAAUUGGUGGUCGCAAUUAUAUUGUGAAUGUUCAGCUUUAUAAGAUAAUUUCCAGUUGUUUACCAAAGUGGUUUUGGGGUUUUGUUUUGUUCUGGUUUGAUUUUUUUAAACCAAUUUACACUUCUAACAACAUUGUAUAUGAGAUUCUCUUGAUCUACGUCCUCUCCGAUGCGAGCUAUUUUCAGAUUUCUUCAUUUUUGCCACUCAAAUAGACAUCAAAUGGAAUCUUACUGUGGUUUUGACUUGUACCUCUCUGAUGAUUAAUGAAGUUGGACUAAUAUCUUUAUAUGUUUAUUGACCAUAAAUGUUUCAUAUUCUGAGAAAUGUCUAUUCAUAGCUUUUGUCCACUUUUUUUCUAUUGGUUCAUUGUCCUUUCUUCCUUAAUUUUACUAUGUUUUUGACAGUUAUGGGCUUUUUCUUUGAACUCAAAUGUUCAGAAUUGAAUUAAUCAUAAUUUUCAUGUAAUGUGAUUUUUUUUCCCCUGGAUACAAAAGUAAUGCAUGCAUGUUAUAAAAGAAACAAGUAAAGAGUGCAGACAUGUUGAACAUAGAAAGAAAA